CGUGUGAAGUUCAGUGGUAUCUUUUUCUGUCUUUAGUCUACAGAAUGACCAAAUGAAAAAUACCUUGGUAAACCAUGAAAAAUAGCUAACGUCAUAUAGACCAAACACCAUUCUGCAGGAAAACGGAGGGGUUUGGAGGGACUGGAAAUACUUCCACCCCAGGAAUUUCCAGGACAUCUGUAUCUCUCUAUUAAGAAUACUGUGUGGCAGACAUAAGGCCUCUAUACGCAGAAAAUAAGGUAUACUGAGUUCCUG
rnacentral:lncRNA from 1 species